UACGAAGGGGGCUAGCGUUGCUCGGAAUGACUGGGCGUAAAGGGCGCGUAGGCGGCUUGUAUAGUCGGAUGUGAAAUUCCUGGGCUUAACCUGGGGGCUGCAUACGAGACGUAUGGGCUUGAGUGCGGAAGAGGGUCGUGGAAUUCCCAGUGUAGAGGUGAAAUUCGUAGAUAUUGGGAAGAACACCGGUGGCGAAGGCGGCGACCUGGUCCGUGACUGACGCUGAGGCGCGAAAGCG
rnacentral:rRNA from 1 species